GAGUGUCCUGCUGGGACCUCGGUCGGACUCAAGAAGAAAGGCAUCAUCCAGGCCUAGAGUGGCACCUGGAAGCCCUUGGACCGUGGAGUUCAUUAUUUCCCGUCGCUGCGCUCACAGCAGGCUUGGUGGAAAGCAUGCGUAAUGGCUGCAUAAUUAGCGCUCUUCCCUGCCAGACGGGCACAAAGCCGCCGUCACCAUCAGUAACACCGGAACAACCUUUGGCGCCAGGGCCUGGUUCCAGUGCAUCUGUCAGCCCCGAGUCACCAAGCCACGGCUAACGCGGGGUGGACGUCUCUUCUGGCUCUGACGUGAAAUACACAAGACAAGGUAGAGUGCGGAGACGGCGGCCAGAAAGGUUCCCAUGAAGCCCAAAAGGAUCCCAUAGAGAAGAGGGAGUGCCACAUCUAAAGGGCCCUUGGAGGACUCAGGCAUUGGGCGUCGCUCCACAAUAAGAUCGAGGUCACGCUGAGUCAAAUCGGACGCUAACACAUACCGAAAAAACAUCCACAUAUGAAUGGUUAUUUAUUGGUGAGUAAAGUAUAUGUGAUGUAUGUUUCCCAUUUACGGUGAU